rnacentral:tRNA from 1 species
UCUAAUGUAGUCAAUUAUGACGUAGGAUUUAAGAUCCUAAGGUAUUAUUUCUUUAGAA